rnacentral:rRNA from 1 species
UACGUAGGGCGCAAGCGUUGUCCGGAAUUAUUGGGCGUAAAGAGCUCGUAGGCGGCUUGUCACGUCGGGUGUGAAAGCCCGGGGCUUAACCCCGGGUCUGCAUUCGAUACGGGCUAGCUAGAGUGUGGUAGGGGAGAUCGGAAUUCCUGGUGUAGCGGUGAAAUGCGCAGAUAUCAGGAGGAACACCGGUGGCGAAGGCGAGUCCCUGGACAUUUCCUGACACUGAGGCACGAAAGCUAGGGGAGCAAACAGG